rnacentral:lncRNA from 1 species
UCAAACCUGGUAUUUUUGGAGAGAAGGUUUUGACAUUGGGGCUGUCUUUUAAGAGCCCUUCCCCUGAUAGCAGAGGGGAACGUGCUCAACUUACAAAGUUUCUGAAAAAAAUCACACUUCUUCUUUUCACGGGACCCCUGUUUGAAAUUUGCAACAAAUUAAAUGCUUAGGAAUCCAGGUGCCUAGGAGCCCUGCUAUUUCAGCUCUUUCCCCUUAAUCAUGUUGGUUUACAUGAGGAUUGAUUUUGGACUCACUGGGCCAGCUACGUGAAAUGUGGUAUUGUCAUUGUCUCUUUGCACAGAACAAUUCAUUUGCUGCUUGUCGUGAAUCCAUCCUGUGAGGUAUUAUGAUGACAUCUGGCAUGGCUUCUUUGUUUACUGUGUUUACCGUAUGUGUUUAGAAGGAAAAAGGCCUGUAGUGACCACUUUUCUGUGUCGGCCCCUGGGUCAGGUUUUCCAUCCUGACUCAUGGGUGUCGGGACCGCUGAGAUUGGUUGAUGGGGUGUGCAGAAUUUCCUCUGUCGGGCUUGGGAGCCAGAAAGCCACGAUGAAGUUUGAUUUGGCUUGUGGCAGCCUUUUCCAAAUGUGAAUUUGGAUACAGUACAGUAAGCCCUCUAAGAAAAGGAGAAGAAGAGAAAAUAAUAACUCUAGAGCUGGGAAUAUCUGGGGAACAUUGAAAAACGGGGAAAGUCUCAAAGAUAGUAUUCUGUGUCUCCCCUGAGCUGGUGUUGCUGUAGUGCUCAGAGGCCAGCCUUUUUUUCCAAGCCGAGUGCUCCCUGCACUUGGGAGAAACCACAGAGGCGGCCUCUGUCCUGCAUGUGCUGCACGCUGCCUUGCUCCAGACUGUCUUGAAUGUGACCUGGCAGCCAGUGCUGUUUCCUGCUGACGUGGCCUCCCACAACUGAGCAGAACAGAGCCACCUCAGUGUACUGAGGAAGGAGCAGGCUGGGGGCAUGAAUCACCAGCGGGAUACGGAACAAAUUCAGAGGGGAAAGCGCCUAACUAUUCAGGUUUCCUGGUAGAUAUACUUAAAAGACACCUUUCUUAUAGGAAGGAAGGAGGAGGAAGAAAAACAGGAGUGAAGAAUGCCUCAAGAGUCAAACAGUGAUUUGUUUGGCCCUAGGAAGGAUUUCUUAUCAGCAGGAGUUACCUUCUGGGGUAAGCCCCAGUCUGUCUCAAACAUCUGAGAGGAUGCUUUGAGGAGGCCAGACUGGACUGCAGCCUUCACAGCCACACUGUUGCACAGGUUGGUGGCGAUGUGAGCUCUUAGCCCUAUCCUGCAGACAGGUAGUAAAGAAACAAAAACCUAAACCAAAAGACUAGAGUUUGUGUCUUGGUGGAAAAAGUUCCCUCAACUUGGUAGGAACUGGAGAAAAGGACUCUGAGAAACUGCUCAGGAGCAAAUCCUGUGGCCUAGUUUUCCCUUCAGUGCUGUCAGCUUCCCGCUUGAUGCUCGAUAAGCGCUUGUUUCAGCCACUACUGAAUAUUUUUUGAGUUUGCUUAUUUGAAGGCAUCCAGGACAGCUCCUUGUUACUGUCUUCUAAUAGGCCCCCCAAAAGUCAUAGUAUCACAGAAUUUUAGAGUGAGAUGGGACUUUAAUUGUAAUCUGAUCGAGACCGUUAAUGGUUUCUUUUUUUUUGAGACAGAGUCUUGCUCUGUCACCAGGCUGGAGUGCAAUGUUGCAAUCUUGGUGCACUGCAACCUCCACCUUCUGGGUUCAAGCCAUUCUCCUGCCUCAGCCUCCCGAGUAGCUGGGACUACAGGUGCGUGCCACCAUGCCCAGCUAAUUUUUGUAUUUUUAGUAGAGACGGGGUUUCACCAUGUUGGCCAGGAUGGUCCUGACCUCGUGAUCCGCCGUCCUCCGCCUCCCAAAGUGCUGGGAUUACAGUCAUGAGCCACCGUGCCCAGGCUAUGGUUUCUUCUAAGAAGUGAUCGUAGAACUUUGUCUUCAGUUACUCCCACCUGAAAGCCCACUGUACAAAACGUGCAGGUGGAGCUGACUGAGGGCAGAGAGGCCGGAGCCCAGCUGCUCAUCUUUCUUUUAGUAGUGGCCCUGGAAACUCUUCCCCUGACCAUUCCACACUCCCGCAUACUUAAUUGAGAAACCACUGAUGAAAUCUACAACCUUAAUUUUAUAGGUGAGGGAAUUUUACCUUUGGUAGGGUCACGGUGUUAGGUCAUUAUGAUAACUUUCAAGGUGCCUGGGAAUAAAAGUUUUAUAACUUUAAUCUGUCUCCUGCUUUUGAGCCUUCGUGAUCUCUCCAGGAGCUGCUGUAAUGGCUUCCCACCCUGCGUGGGAACAAGUGGGGUGCUGGUGGGACAAGUCGGGGGCUGGUGAUGUACUCUAUGUGUUUGUAGGUCAGAGCUGGAAACCACAGAGAACAGCCCAGGUGGUUUCAUUAGUCUAGGUGUGAGGUCACUGGGGGGCGGCAGUAGGAUUGGAGAUGGAGGGAAGCUUUGAAAGGAAGAGCCCUUAGCAUUUUAAAGUAUGGUUAAGUUUUUAAGUUACAGAAACUGGAUAUGGAAAAUUACCAAGAGAACUUAGUCAAAGAUGAUCCUCAAAUACCCAGCCAAAGUCAUAGGGAGAAUGUGGAGACUGUCUGACUUAGAUAGUGGAAAAUCUUUCUCAGUUUUCUUUGUUUAAGCUUCAGCUGGAUUUGUACUUGGUCCGGGACUAGAAGGGGAGAAACAGCCUUAUCUGUUAAUCCGUUGCAGUGGCAGAAGAGCUGUAUAUGUAACUAUAUGCUUUUUUCCUCAACUUAUACUGGAAAAAGAAAAAAAAUUGCCCAGAGACUCUUUUUCUAAAUGGUUUUGGUAAAUGUAUUCUUCAAAUACAACUGCGAGUAGGAGGCCAUGUCAGUGGGGGGUGAUCAUUCUUUUGUGUGAUGGUAAUGAGAUAAUUUCUGCAUUACAGAUUUUCAGGAGACUCUUUGUUUAAAUGAAACUUCAGAGCCCUCACAAAGCCUCACAAGUCUCUUUGCCUUAUUAAAAAAAGUUUUUAUUAAUCUCAUGUGUUUUGCCAUCAUCAAUUGCAUAAACAAAUAAAAUUGUUUUGAGCAA